rnacentral:rRNA from 1 species
UAGAGUUUGAUCCUGGCUCAGAGUGAACGCUGGCGGCGUGCUUAACACAUGCAAGUCGCACGAGAACGCUUCUGCUUGCAGAGGCAAGUAAAGUGGCGCACGGGUGAGUAACACGUGGGUAAUCUACCUUCGAAUUGGGGGAUAACCAUUGCGAAAGCGAUGCUAAUACCGAAUAAUAUCGCUUGAUCUUCGGAGAUUGCGAUCAAAGGUGGCCUCUUCAUGAAAGCUACUGUUUGGAGAUGAGCCCGCGUCCCAUUAGCUAGUUGGUAGGGUAACGGCCUACCAAGGCUUCGAUGGGUAGCUGGUCUGAGAGGAUGAUCAGCCACACUGGAACUGACACACGGUCCAGACUCCUACGGGAGGCAGCAGUGAGGAAUUUUGCGCAAUGGGGAAACCCUGACGCAGCAACGCCGCGUGAGUGAUGAAGGCUUUCGAGUCGUAAAGCUCUGUCAAGUGGGAAGAACCCGCGUAUGGCUAACAUCCAUAUGCGCUGACGGUACCACUGAAGGAAGCACCGGCUAACUCCGUGCCAGCAGCCGCGGUAA